AGGUAGNUACAGAAAGNCGGUGAUAAACCGGAGGAGGGUGGGGGGGAAGGGGGGAAGUCAUCAUCGUCAUUAGUAGGAGGACUCCCGUGGUGCAACAAUGUAUACAGAGGACAGCGGGAACCUGNGUUGGAGGGAAUCCCAGAAACUAGUUAGUAGUCCGGAUGAGAGUAGUCAACUNGACUCCGUGAAGUCGGAAUCGGUAGUANNAGUGGAUCAGAAUGCCACGGUGAAUACGUUUCCCGGCCUUGUACACACCGCCCGUCACACCAUGGGAGUGGGGUGCACCAGAAAUAGAUAGAGUAACUUUCGGGAGGGCGUUUACCCCGGUGUGGUUCAUGACUGGGGUGAAGUCGUAACAAGGUAACCG
rnacentral:rRNA from 1 species